rnacentral:rRNA from 1 species
AGCAACCUGCCUUUCGAGGGGGGAGUAACAUUUGGAAACAGAUGCUAAUACCGCAUAAGAUUACAGUACCGCAUGAUACAGUGAUCAAAGGAGCAAUCCGCUGAAAGAUGGGCUCGCGUCCGACUAGAUAGUCGGUGAGGUAACGGCUCACCAAGUCGACGAUCGGUAGCCGGACUGGGAGGUUGAACGGCCACAUUGGGACUGAGACACGGCCCAG